CUACGGGUCGCUGCAGUGAGGAAUAUUGCACAAUGGGGGGAACCCUGAUGCAGCAACGCCGCGUGGAGGAUGACGCAUUUCGGUGUGUAAACUCCUUUUAUAUGUCAAGAUAAUGACGGUAGCAUAUGAAUAAGCACCGGCUAACUCCGUGCCAGCAGCCGCGGUAAUACGGAGGGUGCAAGCGUUACUCGGAAUCACUGGGCGUAAAGGACGCGUAGGCGGGUUGGCAAGUCAGGUGUGAAAUCCUACAGCUUAACUGUAGAACUGCACUUGAAACUUCUAAUCUAGAGUAUGGGAGGGGAAGAUGGAAUUAGUGGUGUAGGGGUAAAAUCCGUAGAUAUCACUAGGAAUACCUAAAGCGAAGGCGAUCUCCUGGAACAUUACUGACGCUAAGGCGUGAAAGCGUGGGGAGCAAACAGGAUUAGAUACCCCGGUAGUC
rnacentral:rRNA from 1 species